rnacentral:rRNA from 1 species
AGCCAGACUCCUACGGGAGGCAGCAGUGGGGAAUAUUGGGCAAUGGGCGAAAGCCUGACCCAGCAACGCCGCGUGAAGGAAGAAGGCGCCAGGCGUCGUAAACUUCUUUUGUCGGGGAACAAAGGGCGCCACGUGUGGCGCUGUGAGUGUACCCGAAGAAAAAGCAUCGGCUAACUCCGUGCCAGCAGCCGCGGUAAUACGGAGGAUGCGAGCGUUAUCCGGAUUUAUUGGGUUUAAAGGGUGCGCAGGCGGAAUAUCAAGUCAGCGGUAAAAAUUCGGGGCUCAACCCCGUCGUGCCGUUGAAACUGAUGUUCUUGAGUGGGCGAGAAGUAUGCGGAAUGCGUGGUGUAGCGGUGAAAUGCAUAGAUAUCACGCAGAACUCCGAUUGCGAAGGCAGCAUACCGGCGCCCAACUGACGCUGAAGCACGAAAGCGUGGGGAUCGAACAGGAUUAGAUACCCUCGUAGUA